GAAGGACUGUCUGAUGCGUGGUUACCGCAUAUCUCUCGAGCCAACAUUUUCAUUUAGGGAGCUGUCUCUGUCCGGAUCGUGGUCCGGUUAUAUGGCACCCACCUUAACAUAAGCGGUUCGGUCUGAAUGUCCAAGUGUUACGGUCAGACGGUCUUCCC
rnacentral:other from 1 species